AUGGCCUUGGUGCGGAAGUAUGGCAAGCCUAUUGUAUUCCUCACAAUGACAUGCAACCCAAACUGGGAUGAGAUCAAGCGCAAGCUCUACCCUAGUCAAACACCUCAGGAUCAUCUGAACCUCAUUGUGCAUGUUUUUAGGGCAAAAUUGGAGGAACUCAAGAAUAAGUUGCUUCAGAAGGACAUCCUAGGAAAGGCCUGAGCCUAUGUGUAUCUGGUGGAGUUCUGGAAGAGGGAUCUUCCCCAUGCCCACUUCCUUCUUAUCAUGCAGGGACGAUAG
rnacentral:rRNA from 1 species